UGGCAAAUGAGUUCUUCCUACGCUGAGGCA
rnacentral:piRNA from 1 species